UACGAGGGGUGCAAGCGUUGCUCGGAAUUAUUGGGCGUAAAGGGUAGGUAGGUGGUCUCAUUUGUCCGGGGUGAAAGCCUUGAGCUUAACUCAAGAAGUGCCUCGGAAACGGUGAGACUGGAGUCCUGGAGAGGGUCGUGGAAUUUCCGGUGUAGCGGUGAAAUGCGUAGAUAUCGGAAGGAACAUCAGUGGCGAAAGCGGCUUCCUGGACCAGUACCGACGUUCAGGCACGAAAGCGUGGGGAGCAAACAGG
rnacentral:rRNA from 1 species